UACGGAGGGUGCAAGCGUUAAUCGGAAUCACUGGGCGUAAAGCGCACGUAGGCGGAUUGCUAAGUCAGGGGUGAAAUCCUGGAGCUCAACUCCAGAACUGCCUUUGAUACUGGCGACCUUGAGUCCGGGAGAGGUGAGUGGAACUGCGAGUGUAGAGGUGAAAUUCGUAGAUAUUCGCAAGAACACCAGUGGCGAAGGCGGCUCACUGGCCCGGUACUGACGCUGAGGUGCGAAAGCGUGGGGAGCAAACAGG
rnacentral:rRNA from 1 species